UACAGAGGUCUCAAGCGUUGUUCGGAUUCAUUGGGCGUAAAGGGUGUGUAGGUGGCGCCGUAAGUCAGGUGUGAAAUCUCGGGGCUUAACUCCGAAACUGCAUUUGAUACUGCGGUGCUUGAGGACUGGAGGGGAGACUGGAAUUUAUGGUGUAGCAGUGAAAUGCGUAGAUAUCAUAAGGAAGACCAGUGGCGAAGGCGGGUCUCUGGACAGUUCCUGACACUGAGACACGAAGGCCAGGGGAGCAAACGGG
rnacentral:rRNA from 1 species